GGGAAUUAUUUGGUAUUUAACUUGGUAUUUCAGAGUGUGUGCCUUGCUCGUUGAAGUUGCAUAAUAACAGUGUAAUGAGUUGUAGGUGUUUGAUAUAAUACUGGGUGGGAUUUAUUAUCCUUGAUGGUUAAUGGAAGAAUUCUAACCUCCUUAUUUUAGUCUCUGCAAGGGAAAUGAGGAUCACUGGUUCUGGUUAUAAAUGGUCAAAUUAUUGCCAAAAUGGUGAUUUAGCGAUUUGGAGUCUACAAAUGGAUCAAGCAAGUGUAUAAAUGGUUAAAAUAUUGUAAAAAAUGUACUCUUUCAAGUAACCCUUGAAUUUCUAUAAUUCACUCUGCUCUCUACUGCAAAAUCCG
rnacentral:misc_RNA from 1 species